AUGUAUCUCCCUACCCUUGAUAAACUGGAGCAGCAUCAUAGCUUGCCUCAUUCUUCCCUGCUUCAUCAUAUUUAAAACAUUCAGAUUUUAAACACCACCCACAGCAGUGAAUCAUCUUAUUUAUGUCCCUUUUGUAUCCUGCUACCGCAACAGAGAACAGUACGAACAGGAAGACUUGUGCUUUAGUUACAGGAAAAACUCCAAUUCCUCUCAGUAGUUUCUCCAGGAAGUCUGAGAUGAGAUUGUACUGUAAUGGCUUUGUUGCAAAGGCGGAAGAAAAAUGACAAAACCAGAAGCACAGCAGACCACAGGUAAGAUGGUGACUCCAAACAAAGUGAAUCUAUAUUCAAUCGUUUAAGUGCAAAGUUAAAGAUCUCUCCAAAGAGUGACUAUGAAUACAUGAUAUACCUGUCAAAGAAUUAUUUCACAGCAGCUAUGGGAGCCACCUGCAACUGGUAGAAACACAAGUACUAUUUUAUCUUCUCUACAAAAAAACUUUUAAUUUUAUAAGAUGAUAC
rnacentral:lncRNA from 1 species